GGCCUACGGGAGGCAGCAGUGGGGAAUAUUGGACAAUGGGCGCAAGCCUGAUCCAGCCAUGCCGCGUGAGUGAUGAAGGCCCUAGGGUUGUAAAGCUCUUUCACCGGUGAAGAUAAUGACGGUAACCGGAGAAGAAGCCCCGGCUAACUUCGUGCCAGCAGCCGCGGUAAUACGAAGGGGGCUAGCGUUGUUCGGAUUUACUGGGCGUAAAGCGCACGUAGGCGGACUUUUAAGUCAGGGGUGAAAUCCCGGGGCUCAACCCCGGAACUGCCUUUGAUACUGGAAGUCUUGAGUAUGGAAGAGGUGAGUGGAAUUCCGAGUGUAGAGGUGAAAUUCGUAGAUAUUCGGAGGAACACCAGUGGCGAAGGCGGCUCACUGGUCCAUUACUGACGCUGAGGUGCGAAAGCGUGGGGAGCAAACAGGAUUAGAUACCCGUGUAGUCUC
rnacentral:rRNA from 1 species